CGUAUGCCUGCUGUACUCCUUGAUUACGCAAUGCCUGUAUGACUGCUGGUAUCUCUACUGAAUCAAAUGCCCUUUCAAAAUCUAUGAAAGCAAUAUAGAGAGGCUUAUUGUACC
rnacentral:lncRNA from 1 species